rnacentral:rRNA from 1 species
AUUGAACGCUGGCGGCAUGCUUUACACAUGCAAGUCGAACGGCAGCGCGGGCUUCGGCCUGGCGGCGAGUGGCGCACGGGUGAGUAAUGCAUCGGAACGUGCCCCGUAGUGGGGGAUAGCCCGGCGAAAGCCGGAUUAAUACCGCAUACGACCUGAGGGUGAAAGCGGGGGACCGAAAGGCCUCGCGCUCUUGGAGCGGCCGAUGUCGGAUUAGCUAGUUGGUGGGGUAAAGGCUUACCAAGGCGACGAUCCGUAGCUGGUCUGAGAGGACGACCAGCCACACUGGGACUGAGACACGGCCCAGACUCCUACGGGAGGCAGCAGUGGGGAAUUUUGGACAAUGGGGGCAACCCUGAUCCAGCCAUGCCGCGUGCGGGAAGAAGGCCUUCGGGUUGUAAACCGCUUUUGUUCGGGAAGAAAUCCUCUGGGCUAAUACCCCGGGGGGAUGACGGUACCGGAAGAAUAAGCACCGGCUAACUACGUG